rnacentral:rRNA from 1 species
GACGAACGCUGGCGGCGUGCUUAACACAUGCAAGUCGAACGUGAUUUUUGUGGAAAGCCCUUCGGGGACGGAAGCGAAAUGAAAGUGGCGAACGGGUGAGUAACACGUGAGCAACCUACCUUACACAGGGGGAUAGCCGUUGGAAACGACGAUUAAUACCGCAUGAGACCACAAAGCCACAUGGCUUAGGGGUAAAAGAUUUAUCGGUGUAAGAUGGGCUCGCGUCUGAUUAGCUAGUUGGAAGGGUAAAGGCCUACCAAGGCAACGAUCAGUAGCCGGUCUGAGAGGAUGAACGGCCACAUUGGAACUGAGACACGGUCCAAACUCCUACGGGAGGCAGCAGUGGGGAAUAUUGCACAAUGGGGGGAACCCUGAUGCAGCGACGCCGCGUGAGCGAAGAAGGUUUUCGAAUCGUAAAGCUCUGUCCUAUGAGAAGAUAAUG